rnacentral:snRNA from 1 species
GAGGGUGAGAGCCCCGUC